GGUGACUCAGUGGUAGAGUGCCUGCCUUGCAUGCAUGAGACCCUGGGUUCGAUUCCUCAGCACCA
rnacentral:tRNA from 1 species